rnacentral:rRNA from 1 species
AUUGAACGCUGGCGGAAUGCUUUACACAUGCAAGUCGAACGGUAGAGGGGGCAACCCCUCGAGAGUGGCGAACGGGUGAGUAAUAUAUCGGAACGUGCCCAGUCGUGGGGGAUAACGUAGCGAAAGUUACGCUAAUACCGCAUACGAUCUAAGGAUGAAAGCGGGGGAUCGCAAGACCUCGCGCGAUUGGAGCGGCCGAUGGCAGAUUAGGUAGUUGGUAGGGUAAAGGCCUACCAAGCCGACGAUCUGUAGCUGGUCUGAGAGGAUGAUCAGCCACACUGGGACGGAGACACGGCCCAGACUCCUACGGGAGGCAGCAGUGGGGAAUUUUGGACAAUGGACGCAAGUCUGAUCCAGCCAUUCCGCGUGCAGGAUGAAGGCCCUCGGGUUGUAAACUGCUUUUGUACAGAACGAAAAGGUUUCUACUAAUACUAGGAGCUCAUGACGGUACUGUAAGAAUAAGCACCGGCUAACUACGUGCCAGCCGCCGCCGUAA